rnacentral:misc_RNA from 1 species
GGGGUGGGGGAUUCUACCUGAUCCGAGGUCACCUUUAAAAAUUGGGGGGUUUAGCGGCUGGAGCACGCCGGGACGAUCCGAACGAGGUUCGCGUUUUACCGCGUUUUACUGCGCUCAGUGUACCGACGAGCCCGCCGAUGAACUUGGGGGCCCCCCCCCCCUCUCCCCCCCCCCCCCCCCCCCCCCCCCCCCCCCCCCCCCACACGACCCCCCCCCCCACCCCCCCCACCCGCCUAACGCCCGCCCCCACCGCCCCCCCGCCCCCCAGCCCCCACGCCCCCUUCACCCCCCACCCCCCGCCCCCCCGGGCGCGCCCCCCCGCCCCGCCCCCACCCCCCCCCCCCCCCGGGGCGCCCCCCCCUCGUGGCCCCCCCCCGGCCCCCCCCCGCGCCCCGCCGCCCCCCCCGCCCCCCCCGCCGCCGCCGCCCCCCGGACCCCCCCCCAGACCGCGGCCGCCCCCCCGGCGCGCCGCAACCCCCCCCGCGCGCCCGCCCCCCGCGACCCGGCGGAAGGAUCAUUACUGAGUUGAAAAACUCCACCCUGUGAACAUAACCUCUGUCGUUGCUUCGGCGGGCACCCCGCCGGAGGUUCAAAACUCUUAUUUUUUCAGUAUCUCUGAGCCUGAAAGACAAAUAAUCAAAACUUUCACAACGGAUCUCUUGGUUCUGGCAUCCAUGAAAAAACCAGCGAAAUGCCGAUAAGUAAUGGUGAAUUGCAGAAAUUCAUUGAAAUCACCAAUCUUUAAACCCAUUGCGCCCGCCGCUAUUCCGCGGGCAUGCCGUUUCAGCGUCAUUUCACCCCACCCCGCUGGGUGGUUGGGGGCGCCC